ensembl:lncRNA
GAACUGAAGUAUAUAGAUCGUGACUAACUCACCGCUGUGGGUCUCGCACGGCUGCCUCCUACCUAGAAGUGACAGCCUAGACUCUCGGCACAGGAGUUCUGGGUGCAAAAAUACUGUCACUAGACAUCCACCACUACCACUCCCAUCUGAAGCAUCUAAGAAACUAAACUAUGGCUUCUUUUCAUUUUCCUUCAGCGUGUUAUUAUUAACUCCUGGCGCCUCUAAUUGCUCACUGAAAACAGUGGUUUGGAUAUUAAUAGGCUGAAAAUCAAGAACCCUACCUGGGGCUCGUUGUCACGGAAACGGGCCAAGUUGUUGGAGAAAGAGAAACUGGUGAGGCGAGUGACUGUAGUAUGUAGCAGCUUGGAGGAGUGAAACUCUUUAGGAGUGGAAGGGUUCUGGGGGAGGCAGCCCCGGGACCAGAACACGCAUCCCGCUCACCGCCCUCCCAGCGCCCCCGGGCGAUGCUCCAGGAUCUGGAUCUCCAAAGCAAGCGCCCAGCUAGCUAAGCGCCUCCGAAACCCACGCGGAUUCCCGCGCCCCGGGGCGAUCUCUGCCGCAGCCGCCAGGGCCUCCCGCGGGCUCUACGCCCGGCACCCAGGGCUGGGCCCCCACCCGGUCCCCUGGGCGCCGUGCGUCACGCGCCCCCUGGGCCCAGCGCCUCCUCAGCGCUCGCGCCGCGCGCCCCAGCCUCGCGCAUCCGCACCCGCACCCAGCUUCCUCCGGCCGCGGGGCCCUCCCGGGACUCACCUGCGCUGGGGCUGUAGCGGCGGCCACCCCGAGCCCGGGGGCGGCAGUGGCGGCGGCGCAGGGGGAGGAGGGCAGCGCGGGGCUCCUGGCACAGCGGCCGCCGGGCGCCUGGUGCUGCCGAGCCGCGGACCCGCCCAGAGAUAUAAAUAACAUUAUCUGAGGAGGGACAUUCCUGCCGGGGGACAUCGCUGCUGCCGGGACCAGAUAGUCCCGCGGCGGGGGCGGAGAGGCGGGGCCGCAGCCUCCCGCAGCGCCAGGCCCAGCCCCCGCCUUCCCCACCCACUCCCGCACCUGCCAAUCAGCCUCCGAGCCCCGGGCCACCUGCCCGGCCUCCGCCCGGCUCCCCCGGCCAGCCUCCGCCUCCCGGAGGACCGCCCGAGUCCGAGCCACCCGAAGCCGGAGCGGUCCGCAGCGCCCCCAUCGCCGCUCACCUCCCCUCACCGCGCGCUACCCCGAGCCCCCUGCAGCGGGGAAAAGAUUUGGCUGCAGCUCCGGCCUAAUUCGUGCACCCAGAGCGGCAAGCCUGGCCAGGAAAAUGAGCCCUCCAACCUUUCCCACCCCGCGUCCCCACUGUAUACAGUCAGGCUUUUCAAAUAUGUUAAAAGACCCGCUGAGGCCGUAGGUUAGGAGAGGCGGGCGCCCGGGCAGCGCGCCCUCGCUGCGGCGUGUUUGGGAGAGACAGAUUGUUCCCGGGGGCUGGUGUGUUAGAAAGCGCACUGUGGGGCAGGCUUCUCGGGGCUGGCAGUAAGAGCAGACGCUGGGAGGGCUGGCGUGGGCACUGGGCGGGAGACCCUCGCCCUCAGCCCGAGAGCUCGGUGUCUCUGUUUGCAAACCUGGUGUGGUCUGGGCGGACCCCGCAAAGCCGGAGGGGCACAGCGCGAAGUCCCACGGCUUGCAUGUUACAGGGACUGUAAUCAACAGGCAAGCUGCCACCCCAGCCCACCGACAUCUCCUGGCCGGCCCUGGUUUCCAGGGAGCCGAGGCUUCCUCGCCGCAAGCCUGGGUGGGGUGGGAUGCUGUAGGCCCGAGAAAACACUAGAAACGCUGGUGCCAAAGAGGAAAGACAACAGCACCUCCGCUCACCUCGGGAGAGACACAGAAGUGGCAGCUUGAAAAGCUGUCCACUUUUUUGACUUUCUUACUAUACAAGGUCAUUGUUCAGUAAGCCUUGGUGAUACACCUUGCCGCAGUUUUCAUCUCUUUUCUCCAUCAGCCGUGCUGGGACGGUUUCUACCCAGACAACAACCCAGGGAAUCUCAGGUGUUUUGGAGAUGGCAGUGGCGAUGUGAAGUGCAAAGAUGUAGAAAAGAGUUUUAACUUUGAUGAUGCCUGGUGUUCUUCACAACGGAACAGUCUUGCUCCUGAGUUAUUUGCUUGGGAGUAUAAUUAUGCUGUUUUCCAGGAUUCACCAGGAAA